UUCAGCCGAAUAUAUUUGUACACGUAUCGCAUAAACAACGUUCGCUCUGCUAAUUGCAAGACAAAUUAAAAAAUGCGAUUACCAGUAUAAAAUUGUUUACAAGGUGUAUUUACUAAGCUACAGAGCUCUGACGGAUACGGAAGAGAGCCCAGCUAGUGAUUUCCUCCUGCACUAUAUCCUGCCCGAGUGAUAGGCCUCAUGCAAUAUGUGUACGAUCAAAUCACUACGACGAGUGCAACUGCACAUGCGUUUCCAGAGACACAUACUGUCCACCAUCGAAUAGCGAACUUCCACCUUGCGACAGGGACCAAUACCCCAUUUGCCAAGGAUGGCAGCAUCUCGCAUCCACAUUCGUAUGCAUGUGCGUUUG